GUAGGUGGCAAGCGUUGUCCGGAAUUAUUGGGCGUAAAGCGCGCGCAGGCGGUCCUUUAAGUCUGAUGUGAAAGCCCACGGCUCAACCGUGGAGGGUCAUUGGAAACUGGGGGACUUGAGUACAGAAGAGGAAAGCGGAAUUCCAAGUGUAGCGGUGAAAUGCGUAGAGAUUUGGAGGAACACCAGUGGCGAAGGCGGCUUUCUGGUCUGUAACUGACGCUGAGGCGCGGAAGCGUGGGGAGCAAACAGGGAUUAGAUACCCUGGUAGUCCACGCCGUAACCGAUGAGUGCUAAGUGUUAGGGGGUUUCCCGCCCCUUAGUGCUGCAGCUAACGCAUUAAGCACUCCGCCUGGGGAGUACGGCCGCAAGGCUG
rnacentral:rRNA from 1 species